rnacentral:piRNA from 1 species
UCCAAGCUUUCACAGUGUCUCAGUCAGU